rnacentral:lncRNA from 1 species
ACGAAAAUUAAACUCAAUAGCAAAAUGAAAUGUUGAAAGAUAAUAAUAUUUAAAAUUUGUAAUUUAUUGACAUAUAUUAUUUCUAAUGCGCUUCUAGUUUUUGAUCUGCCAUGAGAAAUAAGAAAAAAUAAACUUGAAAAAUCUUCCUCUUAAGUUCUGUUUCUCGCUUGCGACUAUGGACAACGGAAUUGUUGACGGAAUGUAACAAUUCCGUUGACGUCAUUCUCGCCGUCGAAAUCGACCGAAAUGCGGAAAUUUGAAGUUUUGUUGUACCACUUUGAAGAAACUUCAUUUCAUCGAGAGAACUGGAACAGCUGGAACUUAUUCCAGGUCUCUCAAUCUUUCAUUUUACAUCAUUUUCCAAAUUUACUAAGCGAUGGGACUGUUUCAAAGCUGCGAACUAUCAUAUUCUUUGGCGAUAUUUUUUGAAAAGUUCUUUGUAAAACGUGUAGUUAUUUAACAGCAGCACUAAUGUUGGGACUUUGGCAAUCUAUGGAGCUAAUUAUGGAUAAUAAAAUUUUAAAGAACAAUUUCUAGUAAGCCCGCCCAAUUUGCCAAAUUGGGUAGUCUGUAAGAAUCUUUUCUAAAACGCAUAAUUAUGCAUCAUUAACGAUUGAUGUUUUAAAAUUCUAAUAAUAGGCCCGCUCACUUGAAAUCUGAUGAUUUCACAGAAAUAUACUUGCUUGUUAAUAGAAGUCAGAUUGAAAAAUAAUCGCAAACAGAGAUCACCUAGAAAAACAUUGACAUGAUUCAGAAUAUUGUAUAAAAACAACAACGAACAUCGAAAAAGUUCUUUCUAAAGUUUAUAUCGAUUAAUUAUCACUUGGAUAUGAAAUUGCUUGAAUAUAUUGCCUUUACAAUAUGGCUAAAUGACGUUGAAACUUUUAAAUGAAAACUUAAUCUAUCAAUACACACUGAUUUCUCCAGGAAUUUCCACAAAAUAGAUUCACGAUAGAUGAUAAUGCAAAUGGAAAGGACUUGAAAAAAUUCUCACGUAAAAUCAAUAAAUCGUUAACCUUAGUUAGGCCUAUAUUUUUUUUUUUAGAAGUUAUCACCUUCAUAAUUUUCACUAGGCAUUGUUAUAUAGGGAAGACUAUCAUCGAAUUGCUGUAUUGCAUGCCAGUGGGGCGUAGUCUAAAAAUUUGAACAAAUUUAUGUCCAUAUUUUCAACAUUACAGUGAAGCAGUUCGAAUUCGGUCAGAUUAGAUUUUAAAAUGUCGACGAAUUUCACAAAGGAUAUUUUUGACAAUGGCUACUUCAAAGUCCGCUAGGAAUUGACUAUUAUCUAUAAUGAGAUUAAUCGAAAGGUUGAAAAAUGACAUGAACGUUGAUUUUGGCCGAAAAAUUUAGAGAUAUGAGAUCGAAUUCAAUUAAGAUUCAUGUUAUUGCCACAAAGAAUAAAUCAAAGAGAUCGUUUGUUCAUUAAAAAUCUUUAAUAUCAUCAUCAUGAUUACGAAAAUCUCAAAACGAUAUUUUAUUGAUGGAAUAGCUGCAUCCGCCGUUAAUAAGCGUGAUAAAACAGUUGCUUACCAAGGCGGAUUCAGUUUCGGCUUCCACACUUCUAGUUUUUCGGGAAGAAUCCAAUCGGCCUGUUGAAUUCAAUCCUUUAAUCUCUGGUUGAUCUCAUCAUGUACUGGCCAGCCUAUGAUACGUUCUGAAAAUGGCCGCCGCCAGGUACAGAAUAUUCCAAGUGUGAUAUAGCAGCUUAAAUUAAUCUAAUCUGGAGGCCUGGCCCACCGAUUUCCCGUUUUCCACAAUCCAAUUGACCCCUCCACGGGUGGGCAACCUGUGAAAGAGCUUAUUUCGCUCCGUCACUUAGCAUCUUUACAGAAUGGAAUGUGGUGUAAUCUGUUGACAAAAAAAAAUAUCUAACCUAGAGUAGCUCCAGCAAGUUUAUUAAUUUUUAUUAUUUGAAAAUAGUAGUAAGUUUUUAAUAAAUCCAAUCAAUUAGAUGGUCGCCUAAAAAUCUUCCAUUUCCCUCGAUAAUUCUUGAUCGAUUCAGUCUCCAAAUUUCCAAAUUUUUCCACGGAUUCGAGGAUUCGAGUAAAAAUAUAAUUAACAUACACAUUUAUGGUAUUGUAUAUAAAUUUUAUAUGGCAGAAAAAUUAUAAAAAGGAAUUUAAUUAAUAAAAAUAUUCGAUCCACAUAAAAAAUGAAAAAAACUUUUAUACACUUAGUAUAUAUUUUUACUGCUUUUAUAUGUAUAAAUACAGUAAUCUUAAAUAGAACCGGAAACGUAUACUCAAUUCAGCGUAAUGGUAAUGCAAUAAUAAUUUUAUCGCUGAUAUCAAAAACUUAUUUUACACAAAUCUUUUUUUCGACGCUGCUGAUUAUCCAUACGAAUGAAAUCGCAUUCGUAUAUUUUUCGUAAUGAGUAAUUUCUUGGAAGAGCUUUUUCUAUUUCAGUCUCGAAUGUGGUGGAAAAUGUACAAUGUGAUUCACAGUUUACACCUCCAAAUAUGUGCUAAUGUAAUAGUAUAUACC